rnacentral:rRNA from 1 species
AAGCCUGAUGCAGCAACGCCGCGUGAACGAUGAAGGUCUUCGGAUCGUAAAGUUCUGUUGCAGGGGAAGAUAAUGACGGUACCCUGUGAGGAAGCCCCGGCUAACUACGUGCCAGCAGCCGCGGUAAUACGUAGGGGGCUAGCGUUAUCCGGAUUUACUGGGCGUAAAGGGUGCGUAGGUGGUCCUUCAAGUCGGUGGUUAAAGGCUACGGCUCAACCGUAGUAAGCCGCCGAAACUGGAGGACUUGAGUGCAGGAGAGGAAAGUGGAAUUCCCAGUGUAGCGGUGAAAUGCGUAGAUAUUGGGAGGAACACCAGUAGCGAAGGCGGCUUUCUGGACUGCAACUGACACUGAGGCACGAAGGCGUGGGUAGCAAACAGGAUUAGAUACCCUGGUAGUCCACGCUGUAAACGAUGAGUACUAGGUGUCGGGGGUUACCCCCCUCGGUGCCGCAGCUAACGCAUUAAGUACUCCGCCUGGGGAGUACGCACGCAAGUGUGAAACUCAAAGGAAUUGACGGGGACCCGCACAAGUAGCGGAGCAUGUGGUUUAAUUCGAAGCA